CUUUUUUUAUUUAUUUUUUAUUAUUUGGGGUUUCUAUAUAUUUUCUUUUUUCUGGGGUGUCCCUGCAAAUUAAAGAAUGUCUUGUUUUCUCAGCUACCUUAUAUAGUGAUCGAGACAUAUGUCUUAUGAUGUGUGGCCUACUUAUAUUAUUGGAAAAAAAGGUGGUCUCCUGUAACUAUUUCUAAUUAUUCGUUGCUGACCAAUCACAUAUAUUACUAGGUUUAGAG
rnacentral:lncRNA from 1 species